UUCUGAGGGUGAAGGAGGGAAUUCAUCUACCCAGAGGGCAGAGGGAGGGAUAAGGGGUUAUGCAGAAGAGUGGCUUCAAUGAUGGGAAAGCACAGAAGUCCUGCCUCCCAGGAUGGAGAACAGAUGGUUAGAAAAGGGAUGAACACUGCACAGUGGCAGGAUUGCCCUUUCUAACCCAAUCAAGGGAAGAUGCUGAGUCAUGGCAGAACCUGAAUCGCAGCAUUUGCAGAGAGGAGCACAGAGCAGUGGACCUGGACCAUACACGAAGUGGACGCCAAGCCUAAUCAGAAAGAGUUUGCUCUACUUUCACGACCUUGGGUCUUCAAGAAGUACAUCUCCCUGUGUGAAGAGGGCUUUCAAUCCCUUGUCAUCACCAGAGUUUGGAACCAGUUAUAUUUCACCUGGCCCCAGAGGUACCUAUGUUAAUUAAGACAACAGCAGCUGCUAAGCAGCUCACCCAUGAAACUUCAG
rnacentral:lncRNA from 1 species